rnacentral:rRNA from 1 species
CACGUAGGGUGCGAGCGUUGUCCGGAAUUAUUGGGCGUAAAGAGCUCGUAGGCGGUGUGUCGCGUCGGCCGUGAAAACCUGCAGCUUAACUGUGGGCUUGCGGUCGAUACGGGCAUCACUGGAGUUCGGCAGGGGAGACUGGAAUUCCUGGUGUAGCGGUGAAAUGCGCAGAUAUCAGGAGGAACACCGGUGGCGAAGGCGGGUCUCUGGGUCGAUACUGACGCUGAGGAGCGAAAGCGUGGGGAGCGAACAGG